rnacentral:lncRNA from 1 species
AGAGGGGCCAUUCUUUACAUAUUAGAGGCGCGCCGGUCCUUGUCUUCGCCUCCUCCUCUCGGGGUCCGCAUUCUUUUCCGCUCCCCUGCCCCCUCUGGUUUGAAGCAGGCAAACCCACAGGAUGUGGGGGACUGCGCUCCUCCGGAGAAGGAAGAUUUGAGCGUGCACACAGCCUGAAACCUGGGGCUAACAUACUGGUAGCAGACCAGGAGAGCCUGGUUCUGAAGGGUGGAGUCAGAGUCAUCAGGAAACAGAGGGUUCUCAGCCAGCAGUAUCAUGCUUACCUGUAUCAGAUGAAAAACAACUUGUUUUGAGAGCACGCACUCCUGAGAUCUUCGGGCUCUUCCUUCCGGCUGAUGAAAUUAAUUUUGAAGGUAGGAGGAAUCGAGGAGGAGGCUGGGAAUGGGUCA